ensembl:lncRNA RMST rhabdomyosarcoma 2 associated transcript
GCACUAAGAGACUGCUGAGAACUGAUUGGGCAUCAAGACACUGAACUGUAGAAAAUAAUGGAGCCUGACUGUGAGAACUGUCUGUAUUCAAACAUGUUAAGAGCUGAAUAUUUAAAAUUUGUUUGGCUCACCAAGCUUGGCUUUCUGAAGACAACAGAAGUGGGAUAGAGAGAUCAAAAAGAAAAAAAAAAUCAUAAAAGUAUUGCUAAACAAUCAAAUGCAAGGUAUUUUGUCUUCUUUCACUCCUUAAAAGAAAAUCAAUCAAUUAAUACACAAAGAUAAAAGUGAGAAACCUACUGUAAUCUACUAAGGUCCAGGAAUUUAAAGAAUCAAAUGUACCUUCUGGGUUUCGGAAUCCAUCGGGGAGAAUGUAGAGGGUGAUGAGAAGACUUUGCAUUUGACCAAAAAGCACUAGUAAAUAAGGAGUUAAAAUGAAGGCAGGCUCGCUGGUUUGCUGAGAUCUGUCAGAGUCUGACUGGCUGGCUACAUAUCUGUCUCUGGAACAAUAGGUACCUGUAUUCUGCACGGACUGCUGGGCAGCACUAGCACUCUGGAGAAGGUCUGCCGCUGUCUGCACUUUCCUGGUUCUAUGCAGGCAGAUGAGUGUCACAGCUGUAACUGAGGCACAGAGCAGUACACACAGUGGAGCCGAUUUCCGCGAUGGCGAGAGGGGGCACCGGAGGUGACAACAAUAACAAGACUGUCCUUCGGACAAGUUUUAGCGCUGAAUAUCUUCAGGAAAAUGGGUUCCAUGAGAAGUGACAUCCUCCUCGAAUCAAAAGGAAGAAUGACUUGGGCAAUACCAAAUGUUGAGUUAUCAAGUAUUUCGAUACCCAUAUGCAUCAUCUGCUAUUCUCAGGAUGAUGGAGUGAGUGAUGGAAUAGGUUGCCAACUGUAGUUACUCCACUCAGCACAGAAUGGCUGCGGGGAAAUAUAAUCAGACAUGCCCAAAGAAGUCUGCUUAGGGUGAAACAAAUACCUUUGAGGUUUAAAUCAGAAAGGAAGGAGAGACUGUUUCUACAGGUGUCAUACAAAAAUCAAUACUGAGCCAAGGAUUAUUGGAUCCCAUAGAACCACGGAGACUUGGUAGUGAAAUUCUUCCAAAGGCAGAUGGUGUUCCUAGGUUUGGAAAUAUAAAUCCCAUGGGAAGUCAGCUGAAGACCAUUUUAUGCAUCACUCAUCCUGUUAGAGCCCUGUGCUGUUCUGUCUCUCUAUAAGACUGGCUGAAACCACCACGGUUGUUUACAAUUUAUGCUCUAACUUUGGAUCACCUAGUUAAUACUCUAACUCCGAUUAUUACCAAAGACAAUGUUCUAUAAAAGAUAUUGUCUAUUAGAAGGAUGCUUCUGCAUUAUUAAUAAAAUCACAGGGAAAAUGCAACAUUUUGGAUGUCACAUCUGAUAAGUUGGCAGUUAAAGAACAGAAACAGCAAUAAGACUGCGUGGCUACAUUUUCCCAGUGCCACCAACUGGGAUUUAAGCUGACUAACAUUUUGAAAGCCCAGCCCAUUUCAUUCACAGCAGGAUGGCAGUGGGUGACUGAUCGUACCCGCCAGCUGGCUAAUGUCAUAAUUAACAAAGUUGCUACUACAUCUGCAAAGUUUAAUCGAAAAAUUUGCCAGUGAUAUGAUGGCCUUGUCACAGAGAUCACAAGGGACACGGAGUUGACUUUUGCUCAAGGUGGAACGACAGAGCUGUGUAGGCAAGAUGAGAAAUUGCGAACUUGUUCGGCCAAAGGAUUAUCUCCUGAGAUGUGUAGAAAUGAACUCUUGUCAGAGUUUCAAAGGAAUUAACGUUUUUUGGUAAAAUGUGCUAAUGUAAAGAGUGAGAAGAUUAGUGAUACAUAAUGAAAGCAAUGCAUUCUUUCACAUGGAAAUGGGAAUAUAAUAAAUGUCCUGCAGGU